UGAAGACAUCUCUUCUCUUCUGAGUGCAUCCCGCGUCUCAAAGCGGAGGGCUUGCGGCGUGGCCAGCACCCUGGUAAAUGUAGCAGUGUGCAACUGUGUGCUGCUUUGUGUUCACCCCAUCGAUACCAACAGACUAUCCUCACUGUAAUUGCACAAGAAAGGCGAUCUCACGCAGGCACGUCCCCCGCGCGGUGAUCCCGGUGCGCCCUCCCGCCCCCGGCACCGCCUCCGGCUCUCGCAGACUUGGUUUUUACAUCCUUUCCUCCUAGUGCCUUAGCGACCGGGGACGCGGUUGAGGGUUUACUUCCACGGUACUCCAAGAAGCCGGCUGAGGCACGUCUCAGCCUCUCAGCCCUUCUUCUGUGCUGUUGCAACAUUUUACUCUGGUCUUUUCCUUUUUUUUUUUUUAAUUUUUUUUAAUAAUCUGUUGUCUUUCCCCGGGCUGUUUGCUAGCAGAGGAGUGUCAGGGAACUGGCAGGGGCUAGGAGAGCCGGUGGGUCAGGAGAGGACUGUGGGAGGUGGAUGGUGGUGGGUGAGGCUGACGCUGGAGAUGGCUUGGCGUGGCUUUUUCCUGGUGGACAAAGCAAGAGAGACUGACUCCCCACCCGGCACCCUCACCCAGUUCUGCCCCCAGCGGGCUAGCUCUGCCGUCUGUAGACCACAGAUCCCAUCUCAGUUUCAAGAAUGCUGGCCUUGCUUCUGACGCAAGGAGCAAAGGAGAGGAGCGGCCUCCGGCCUCCAGGCCCGGCACUGGCUUCCGGCUGGUCACCCGCUGUCUGCAGGCGGACCUAGUGGCCCGCCCCGUGUUCUGACCCGCCCCACACUCCAUUCCGCCAGCCCUGCCCAUCUGGCCUCUGCUUCCACCCUCCCACCCCACCAGGCUGUGUUUUGCUCUCAACCGUUUCGCCUGAUCCCUUUCUCUGUAGACAACCGCCAACCGUCAUUUGCUGCUAAAUCUUUCCUCGCGUUACCCAGGCUUACCCCAGGCAUGCCUUCAUUUCUGGUCUUUGAGGGUUCGGGUGGGCAGAAGGCUGGAGGGACAUUCACGAGGGUAAACCGGUGAUCUUGGACCGCCCUUGGGAAAACACACCCAAAGACAGUCAAGUUUCCAAGGAAGUUUGCCGUUUGCCCUCUGUGCAUCAUUGAUAACGUUCUGGAAAUUUCCUCAGGCUUUGAACACUGGUGGGGGUGGGGGUGGAGAGGUCUCUCUAUCCAUAGCAAAUUACUGUUGCACAUGAAAACAUUGGGAGGUGCUGUCUGGUCCCAGACGGGAAUUUUAACUGUGGUCCUUACUGUUUGAUGCUUGAUGCGGAGCCCCUGACCCCAAAGCCAAGUUUCCAAGGUGCAGAGAGGUCGCUCCCGGGUUCGAACAGCACUCUGCACCCACCCUCCCUCACUUUCCUUCCCUAUCCUGCGGUCUCCCUUAACGAUCUACUGUGAAAGGUGUUUUUAAUCUUGAUAUCCGACCUAAUUCAGUAACGAAGCCCAGCCCUUACCUUAGCUCUUAGCUGUGAAAUGUGAAAUAACUCUGGAAAAUAUCCCCUCUCCAUGCAUCAAUUCUACUUAUCCUACAAAGAAAUCGGUCCCCAGGUUGGAACCAGCUUAGUCCCGGCCUCAGCCUGGAAGGAAGGAAGGACCCCGUGUCCGCCGAGGAGCCGCCUGCUGCAGGACACGAUGGUGUCUUCAUGGCGCCACACAUGCAUCUUUUAUCUGGAUGUGGGGAAGUGCCGCCAUUCUGAGACAACCAGAAAGUGGUCCGUGGGGGUGGGGGCGGGGAAUGUGCCAGAGGACGCGUGCGCCCGAGCACUGACGGAGCCACGCCAGCCUGCAGACGGGUCUCUGUUCCGGACUCUCGGCAUCCAGAGGGCAGCAGUGCCCCGUCCGACCCUCCCCGUGCCCAGUCGCACAAGUCAUGGCUGCAAACGAGCCAGCGUUUUUGCCUUAUUGGGUAGCGUACUGGACCCCUGGUACUGUUCACUUCCAGUGCUUUCUAGAUCUGAUCUUUUAGCAGGAAAAGACAACGUAGCCUUCCACUUUAAUGAAAAUUAUUUUGUCUACUUAAGUUGGAAGUUACUCUUUCACCUGACAUUUUCUUUCCUUUCCUUCCUGAUUAGGAAAUGAAAGUUUCAUGCUGCUCAUAAAGAUAAUAUUAUUGUACUAAUUAUUUUGGUUAUUAACCUUUGUAAUUAUUAUCCUAAUCAUCAUUUUGAUAUUUUAGUUGGGGUUUUAAAGUGCACAUUUAUUCCAAGUAUCUUUAUGUUUUCUCUUUAAUAUUUAAAUUUAUUUUAUUAUAUCUGUGAGUAUCUGAGUAGACAGGAGGGACAUCCAGAUGUCCAGUUUUGUCAGACCAAAAAGAAAAGAAGGAAGGAUUCAGGAAUCAGGAAAAAGCUGUCAAGAAUGAUCCACCAGAGAACAAAAGCCUGAAGAAGAAUCAAAGCCUUUAUCUCUCUGUAAGCCAACUUGGGCUUUGGACAGCAUGGUUCGUGGUCACCAUCAAGACUAGAUUUUUCUAGACUCUCAGUGGUCUGGGAAGAGAUCUGAGGAGUCAUCUUGGAGGCUGAACCCUCAGCAUGUUCCUCUCUGACCUUCCCUGUUCUUCUGAAAUCUGCUGAAUAGACCCUGGGCCUGCCUCACAUCUUAUACUGACCUGUCAAGGAAAAAAAAAAAGAAGCCCUCUGCCCAGAGCUGACCCAGCCCCUUCCCUAAAAGUCCUCCCAUUUCCCAUCAGCCCACCAGAAGUGUGGCUUAUACCCUUCAGUGUGUAGAUAAUGUUGCCUCCUAGAAGCCACUGAAGGUAAUGAGCUGAUGGAAGGUGCUUAGGCAGGUGGUACCUUCCCCUGGGAGAUGUCAGCCUCCCUGCCCCUCACAAACCACACUGCCCACUUCUUCAGUCCCUGCCCUCACCCAGUACAUCUCAGCACACAAUUCUAGGGACAAACUGUGGAGCCAAAAAAGUAAUAAUAAUAAAAGAGGGAUAGUAGGAGGCCAGAGGAGCACUGACCGUGUCCAGCAGAUCCUUGGACAGUGCGGGCUGCUGCCCCCCUGAACUCGGCCAGUGGAGGGGCACAGUGGGGCCUUACAGCGGUGCCCACUGGGCUCUGACUGUGCCCUUCAGGCCACCAUGCUGGGUGCCAUGGGCUUUCUAAAUCAGCUUGAGGUGCCCACAUGCCGCCCACCAAACCCAGAAACUACCAGGCCCCAGGUGGGUGAAGGAGGGCCUGGAAUGACGGGCUUCACUGAGGCUAAUGAAGGGAGACGCCAGGCCAUGCCCAGCCCCCCACCACUCAGCGAACAUUAGUAUCCUCCCCGCGUCCCCACCUGCCUUUUUCUUCCAACCCAAGCACAAAACUGCGGGUCUGAAGCCCUCGGAGAAGGCCCUAGUGGGAGAGAUGAGCCCCUCUGUGGGUUCCUUAGCAGCUGCUUGAACUCCCACCCCACCCUCCAACCCUGAGUCGCCCUGGCAGGUAGGCUGAAUAAAGGCUGCCCAUCCCAGGACGCAGCUCCCAAGUGGAGAGAUGCCAACCUAGUCUUCAUGUAGACCACAAAUAACCUAGAACAUCAUCUGCUCUGGAAUUGGCUCCAUCCUCCUUUACUGAAGCAACGUGGUUAUGGUUCAGAGGAGCAGGCUAAAAAAGACAGGUCAAGGGGAGCCUGGGAACCGGAGCGCUGGGAACCGCAGGUUGAUUUGCUUCUGCUUGUUCGGUCUAGCGGGUGCCUCGGGUGUUUGCGCCGCCAUCUCUGUGCGUAGUGCCUCCUUUCACGAUGUUUUGGCUGUUUCCAAGGGAAGGGUGAGCAGGCCGAUGGGUGGGAGAGUCUGAGGCUUGGUGCCAAUUAAUGCUGUGACGUGGAGCAUGUGGUUGGUCGAAUUCAGAGGGAAAGGAAGGGUUGGUUGUCUCCUGGACUGUCUUUACAUUCUGGCCUUACUGGUGGUGAGUGGCUGGCGGGCUGCAGGAGCCUGAAGACUCAACCCGCCCAGACACCAGAUUGUGGGAUGUAAGGAAGGCAAGGAAAGAUCAGCCCAGCUGCUAACAGGCGGAUUUCCCUCGACCGGAUCUCUGGAAUUGCAGACACUCAUUUUUGAACAAGCUUGUGGUGGAGGAUUUGGGUUGUGUGAGUGUGUGUGAGUGAGUGGAGCAGACUUUCUUGGAAACUGGAGGAAGGAGAAGAGGAGGCUUAAGGAACUAUUGCUGAUGGGCUGUGGUUGAUGAAACGUGGUGGGUUGAUGGGCCAGCCCCAGCUUUCAUCCUGGGUUCUCUGGUGUUGGGGGUGGGGUCGGAUGUGGGGCUCUCCAUGGCCGGUUAAGUAGCUGCGGGGACAGAGCAGAAGAGAAAAACGAGGUGCCCUCCAGCAGCAGAGAGGCCAGCGCUCCUUCUGCGGGUCGCAGACCUUGCCCGGUGCUGCUCAACACCAGCCCAAGUGAUUCUGCCACGAAAUAUUCCAGCCCCGGGGACCCUACUUGCUUCUUGCCCCUUCUCUGUGUUUUCUUUCUGGUGUGUCUUAGAGAUUUCAGAUGGGGAAGCCUCAGAAUUGAGCAAGCUAGAGCUGUCCUAACCAAAUUGGAAAGGAAGGUGAAAGUGUUCCUUUCUUUAGCCAAAGACCCUCUCCUCAAAGACACCCCCAGAUGUGGACAGAAUGGCAUUCCUCUCUCCUUCCUCUCCCGGCAAUAAUAACUCUGUCAGUGAUGCAAUCCCGUUUAUGUCCUUCUCUUGCCUGACUUGUUUUGGUUUUUUUGUUUUUGCCUUUAUUUUAAAACUGUGCUCAUCUUGUAAGUGGAAUGGAGAUUUGUAAUCCCCAAAUGCUGCUGCUGUCAGGAAACUGGAGGUACUGCAUGGAUCUGUGGGUGGAACUCACCUCGAGUUACCUCGGGUAUCCGCCGGAGCAGACUGGCCAGGAGGUGCGGCUCUGUCUGGGUCAGGUGCACGCCAGGACCGGGCUCAGGGGGUCAGUACUUUUCCGCUUCAAUGCCUUAGGACUCUCACUUCCGAGUUCCACAGAUGGGACUCAGUGGAGAGUUGGAGAUGGCGAACUGAUAUUUAAAGUCAGUAGAAACCCCUUGAAGGCUUUUGGCACCCUCACUCACUUGAGUGACCCAACCUAGGAGAGGUUUUUCCCAUCCUUCUGGCAGCUCCCAGAAGUCCAAGAGAGCCAGCUCUGAGCCAGUUCUUCAUUUGAGACUCAGUGAGAAUCUGCAGAGAAGUGACCCUUCUGCAGGGCAUGCUUGCUCAGGGUACCUCUGCCAGAAGGGAGCUUCCUGACGCCCCAGCUUGAGUCCCAGGAGCCUCUGCGAGCCCCUAAUUGCACUCUCAUUGCAUUAGAAUUUCACAUUGACUAGUCUCUUUGUUAGAACUUGCCAUGUCCCUCGAGUAGGAGCCAACAUUUGUUGAAUGCUUUCAAUACACCAGGCUCAUCCCAAGCCCUUGGUGAGCACAGCCUCCCAGUACCCUCGGGCUCACCCCUAUUCACAACACCCCUCUCCUCCAUUUACAGAGGAGGAAAUUGGUGAGACAGUCGACUCUCUGAGAAAGUAGGCUGUGUUAAAGAAAGGAAAUACAAGGAUUUGGGGGUGGCCCCAAGUCCCCGAGCUUCUAGUGAAAUUUUGUGUUCUUGAGACCUUUACUAACUGAAUUUGUUUCCCUUGUUAAAUAAUCAUCAGUGAGUGGCCUCGUGUUUCUGGUGAACCAUCUAAUGAUGCUCCCAUUGACUGUAUGCCAGACAUUGCGCUGGAAGUCGCUCCUGUUUAUCCCGUUUCGUUUCGUCUUCAUAACAGCCCUAUGAAAUCAGCAGUACUAGUCCCUUUACAGAUGAGGCAGACGGCUUGGUGAACUGGUAACCAGCCCAGCGUCACACAAGCCAGUAGGGAAGGCCGGCCGUGACCUGGGUCUGCCCAGCUCACAGACGCCAACCUCAGCUGUCUCCUGGGUGUGUGUGCGAAGAAGGGCCUCACAGGAGCGUUGCCCCGCACCACCCCUGCCCUGUGCGCGGAGCUCAGCAGAAGGUCUGUAUGUAGAGGGAGUCCUGAAUCUGAUCCAGGCAGCAAGGGCAGAAUUAGUUUGACUUUUAGAGAAAAUCUUAGGGGAGUCUCUUUGGAUUAAUCAUAGUAGAGUUCAUUUUCAAUUCCUUUUCAGUGUACCAACUAGCUUUAGUAGUGCUGCUGCUACAACAGACUCUUAUAAGAGUGAAGAAAAAAAAAAGUGUUCUUUUCUUCUUUUAAAAAAAUAUUUUUUUCUUGCUUAUAGUUAAUUCUAGAAAGGCAAUACUAAAAGUAUAUAUUUUCUUCAAAAUACUAUUUUUUACUGCACUGAUAAAUAUCAUAACGACUCUGGUCUCUGUAAUCAGUCCACUCUUCAGCUCUGGGUAGAACCAAAGGCAGGAUUCACACCAAAUUUGUAAAUAGCAUGUGUGAGUCUGGUGUCCAGGAACUGUUUUUUCUUUGUGUUUAAAAAUUUAAAAAAAAAAAAAAAAAAAGGGAAAAAAGAGAUGAGAUCAAGAUGAUGUUUAGAAAGAGGAACAAAAUUAAGUUUUCUUUCAAGAUAGUUUUCUUUCUCAAAGAAAUGGGAAGCAACAGUUGUGCAAACUGAAGAAAAAUUAGCCAACUUUCAGGAUACAAGGAAGGAGAGCCUCAGGCUGAGGUGGGAGAUUAACAGUAACAUAGAAACAUGUUUCCUUUGGUUGAAAGGUGGCAAGAAUUUAGCAAUGCUUUAGAACUAGAUUUUUAAUUUUGUGGGAAAUCAUAACCAUUUGUUACAAAAUAUCUCUGCAGUUGUUUGGAAUGGGGUUUUCAGUUUCUUUUUUUUUUCCUUUAAAAAUUUCCUUAUUGACUGGCUCCAGGCAUGUUUGCCUCAAUUCUUAGGUAGUUUACAAAGUUCUAGAGUCUUCUAGAGCUUUAAUUCCAUUGGAAGCAAACCCAGCUAAUCAGAAUUUGAGAUCCUGGUUGGUUUGAAUAGGUAUUCUGGAAUUCUUGACAGAACACCUGAAGACUUCUUUUUUUUUUUUUUUUCUUAAGAAGGUUUUAGAUACGUUAUCUUACACAAACUGUGACCUGAUGGCAAUAAUUACCUCAAAUGUGGGCAUUCAUCCUGGUUUUAGCCUUUUUUGAAAUCAUGUAGCCAGCUUGCUCUUGGAAUUUAAAAGACUAUAAAUAUAAACUCCGUGUGGGCUGAAAAUAACAAUUACUGCACACCCUGGUCAUUGUUGCUUAAGUGAACUCUGAAAAUAGGUAAUCCUUACAACAGAAGUUAAACCAAGGGAGAGAAUAUUCUUUGUGUUUUGUAAUCAAAUGUGAGUUUCAGAUGCACAUGUUUAAGUAUAUAUGUUUUUAGCUACUGUAAAAUGCUGUUAGCCUUCUAAGAUAUCAAGAGAGUCACGUUUUAAAUGCAUAAACUAUAAACAGUUGACUGUGGAUAACUAAACAUAUUUCUGGCCACGUUUUAUAGUUAAAGUAUUUUAUAGUUUACAUUUAAACUGGUACUUUUUAAAGAAAAUUUCUGUUUAUAACUGACAUCUUCAGACCCCAGCAAUGGCCUCUUCAGGUGGAGGCCACGUUCCCCCAAGGCAGGUGUGUUCUGCCCCUACUGUAGCCCACCAUGAGCAUUUCCAUCUGUAUUGCUGGUUUCCAUGGGAACUCGAGAGAAUGUAAAGGGAUUUCCAGGUUGAGCAGGAAGGGGUGAGUCCACAGCCUGGGCCAGGUGCACAGAUCUGCGCCGUGAUAUGCACACUGGUGGUCAAGGCCUUCUCUUUGGCAUCUUGAAAGAGGCAGAGAGAAUAGACAUCUAGUUCAUUGAUUUUGUCUUGAUUUGAAUGUUUAAUUUAUUAAUCGACCCACUGACUUCCAGACACCAGGCAGUAGAAGACACUGGGAUUCAGGUGGCCCCGAAGGUACAGCUGCUAUUUCUGGGGCCCCAGCAAUACUCUGAUUGGUGUUUUGCAGGGGAGAAUUAUACACCCCCAUGCCUAUAUUUACUGGUUGGGUUUUCCGUAUAUCUGCUGUCAUUUAUUCCUUUUGUCCUUUAAAACAAAGUAAGUGUAAAAGGAUAUGUUUACUUUUUACUCUUUAUCAAACUUCUAUUUGAAGCCUAGGUCAUUAGGAGAUGGGGUCUAGAUUUUUUUUUUUUUUUUAACAGCUCAUAGUUUUGUUCAGUAAACAGAGGGUAGGUAGUACAUCCUCCAGGCAUGAGGGCGGGCCAACCCCAAAGAAGAGGCCUAGACUUUUUUUUCCUAGAGAUUGUAAGGGCUGCUGAGCAGGAGGAAGGGACUGGAAUCUGAAGGACAGCUAGGGGGGCAGAUGAUGAGAUCCAUCCAAGCAGAGGUCACAGUUGAGAGGCCCCGUCGCCAUGCAGAAGCAGCCUGGAGGGCACCAGUUGCCCUAAGUGUUUUGGUUCCUUUCUUCUUUUGUGCCACAACCUUAGCGCAGAGGACCUGCUGUGAUCUGAAGGGCAUUCCUUUAGCAAAUAACACCUUAAAAACUGCAAACACCUGGGACCAGGGAACUGGUGGUGGUUCUUAAUGCACUUGCUUUUUCCUUGUGAACUCUGUUGAUAGCACAUUCUUAUCACAGUAUUCGGUUGGAAAUGUCACUGUAAAAUAGUUUUUGUCUUGCCCCUCCUAAUUCAACUGUCACUUUUCCUCUGUUUGGUUUUCUCCCGUGAUUUAAAUAACAAAAUAUAUUUUAUGUCAUUGUCUUUGGGGCUUAAUCAUAUUUUUAAAAAACAGAGGAAUAGAAAUUAGCUUUUUCUUUUAAGUAAAUAUGCUGUAUCUUAAAAAAGGGCUCUGCCUUCUCUCUCGUUUCCUUUCAGCCAGCCUCCAUGCCAACCUCCCAGCACCCUUGCCCCCUUCUUGUGUUGGGGCACUGCUCCCCGCACCGCCCCCACACGUGGCCACCUUGGUCUCCACCCUGCUGUCCCACAGCCCCAUCCAGGCACCCAGUCCUAGGCACCCAGGAUGCCCAGGAGGCUCUCAAGAGCCAGGAAGAAGGACCCACUUAGCCUUGCCAAUGGUGGUCUUGCCUCCCUGUUAGCUAUUCGCCUGCUUGGUUGAAGGGGCAAUGGAUUUAUUUUUAUUAUUAUUAUUUUAAUAGUUUGGCUCAGGUUAUAAGGAAGAACUUGGGAAAUGGAAAGUGACUUGACCAUGCCCAUCCUUUGUAGCUUUCUGUGACUUCUGAAUGGAACCUAAAGCACGCCCCACCCCAGUUCCCUCUCCUCCCUUGCGGCAGAUACUCCUGUAGACGUCUCCACGGCACGUGGUUUCUCCCUGCCGUCUCAUCCUUCCCGUCACUUUCCACCCUUUCACCAUUGCAUUACUGCUCCUUUAAAGCUUUCUCCCAUGGCUUUUCCAGGGCACAAUCAUUUCCGGCCCCCAAAGCACCUCCUCAUCCUCUUUGUGUGUGUUUCUUUAACCAAAUGAAGUAGACCCGGAAGUCAUACUUUGGGGCGGUAGGAUUUCUAGUCUAGGAGAAUCACUGUAUAGAUAAUAGAUGUUGAUAUAUAUGUGUGUGUAUAUAUAUAUCAAACCAAAUUUCGGAUAGGAAAAGUAUAGCUUUAUGGAUGAGGAAGGAGAGGAGCUUUUGGAAGCUGGUUGGUAUAUCAGAGGAGCCAGGGAUGACCCAGGCUGCACCGUCGCACAUGGACUGGAAAAGCAGGAUGCAGGGGACCCAGGCACCACCUCAGGCUGCAGUGGAGGCAGAGAUGAGUGUUGGGCGGUGGGGGCGGUACAACACAUCAGAAUGACUGGAAUUUUCCAUCCCGUUUUGCUUUGACCACAUGUAUUGAGCUGCAGCCUCUGAUAUUAUAUCCCGUUUCCAAAAAUGGUAUCCAUUAGGAUGGAAAGAGAAGGCAUCUGUAGAAAUGUUUACCUUUCAACAGCCCACACAUCAGGACACUCUGGAUAGAAAGACUCACUCCCCAGAAAGAGAGCAGGGAAGAGGAGAUCCGGUGAGGCUCGGUCGCCGGUCCAAGGAACAUGGCUCCUCCCCAGGGCCAUCUCGCCCAGAUCUUUCUCUGCCAGGUCAUCUCAGCUCAGUUACCCUAUGGAAGCCCUGGUCUGUUGUGUUCCUUCACUAUACGGUUUCUGUAAUAAAAAAAGAAAAGUGUUAAUCCAUGUUAAUCUUUGUGAAAAUUAUUGCGUGCAACAGUAUUUUCUCGUGUACCUCUUUUUCCUAUGUGAAUUGUCCCUCUUUUCUUUUUUUAUUUAUAAAUGUCUACUUUUUUUAAAAAAAGACAAACCAAUGUGUUGUAGGCCUAUAUGUAACCUAUUCCUUAGUCUCAUAUUAUAGGUAUGUUAUAAGAAUGGAUAUUUUACUUGGCUUUAGAAUGUUUUACAAGAAAAAUAAUUCUUAACUGAUCAAGUCCUUGCUACUAAAAUGCUUGUGUUUUUCAUCAUGACGUCGUGUGCUUCUAAAUUAAUGAUCAUUUUCGUUGUAGAAAAAUGGAGUGAAUUUAUAUUAGUCUUGGAAACUAAUAAUAGCAUUGUAAAUUUAUGAGAUGAUUUUAACAGAAAAAAAAUUAUAGAAGAAUAUAGUUAUUUUAAUUGUAAUAUUACUAACUGUAGGGUGAGAAAGGGGGGGGGGGGUCCCGUUGUGGUGAACUAUGUUAUAGCUUGUUACUCACAGUUUCUUUUUGAUCAUUUUUUCGGUCUCUGAGGUGAAACGAGUUAUUAAUUAAAAUUUGUAAACUCACAUAUGCAUAUUGUAUAUGUGUAGAAAUGUAAUCACACUUUGUCUUGGAAUUACAUUAAACUGUUUGG
ensembl:lncRNA